rnacentral:rRNA from 1 species
GGAAGGUUAAGGGGAUCUGUUAGAGCAAUCGAAGCAGUGAACUUAAGCCCCAGGAAACGGCGGCCGUAACUAUAACGGUCCUAAGGUAGCGAAAUUCCUUGUCGGGUAAGUUCCGACCCGCACGAAAGGCGUAACGAUUUGGGCACUGUCUCAACAACAGACUCGGGGAAAUUGUAAUUCCGGUGAAGAUGCCGGAUACCUGCGACAGGACGGAAAGACCCCAUGGAGCUUUACUGUAGCUUGACAUUGGGUCUUGGUACUACAUGUACAGGAUAGGUGGGAGGCUUUGAAACC